rnacentral:lncRNA from 7 species
GUGAUGCUGGUCUUGCUGCGCUUUGGAGGGCAUGAAGCUGCACUGUUCAGAAGAAGCAAGAUUCUUUCCUCACAGCUACGGCACUGCGACACAGCCUGCUUUUUCGCAUUUACCUGGGUGGCUGCUGCUGGUUCUGCUGCUGCUGCUGCAGCCUCGCUGCCUGCGCUUCACCCCAGCUUGGCUGAUGCGAGCCUCCCUCGUCUGCACAUUGCUAAGGAAGAGAAGCGAUGGAGCCGCAAUUUUUUUGUUGGUUCUGGAAGCAAAGGGUUGUGAUGUGGGGUUGUUUGGGGGUUUUCUUUUUUUUUUUUUUUUUUGGUGGGGAGAGAAAGGAGGGAUGUUAAUCUAGGGUGGAGUGGGUAAAAGCUUAAAGAAAUAUGAUGAAAAGUAAUCCAGUGCUCAACAAGGGCAUCAGCAGCAAGAAUCCAGCCUCUGCUGCUCCAGAGGAUUAAGAUGGGGAAAGCCACAGAACUGCAGUCGAGUUGCACCUCAGCGUUGUUCUGGAGAUGGAUAAACAAGGACAUGAUGUGGCCUGCUGCUACUUUCUGCUUGCCUGAUUGCCUGCUAAAGUCCAUUCCUCUUGGCACUGCUUACACCAGCUCCAGCUGCUCCACGUUGCUUUACAGUAUCAACAUCUACCUCCUCAAAUUUGGAAGACUGGUCACCCUUUGUAGUACUGCUGUGUGGAUGAAUCUUAAUCUUCUUGAAAGUAGGAUAUUAAAGAUGAGAUAAGCCCUGGUAUCUAGAAGUAGUAUAUACUGCAGUCCUAUGAGACACAUAGAUAGAUAGCCAGAUAUAAUCUUUCUCCACUGGAUAUCUUGUCCUUAGAACUAUUACCCUGGAAACACUCCUUAAUAUUUCAAAUCACAUACCCCUUUUCUUAGGUAUAUUCUAUUUAUCAGACAUAGCCUAGCUACAGAAUGGCCAAUGCUGUUGAGCUCUCAGUCUUUGUAAAAAUGGAUUUUCAUCUUUUGUACAAGCUUGUAUUUUGCUAAACAAUUAAAUAAAAACAAAACACUACAAAACAAAACUAUAUGUAUAU